rnacentral:rRNA from 1 species
GAUGAACGCUGGCGGCGUGCCUAAUACAUGCAAGUCGAGCGAACAGACGAGGAGCUUGCUCCUCUGACGUUAGCGGCGGACGGGUGAGUAGCACGUGGAUAACCUACCUAUAAGACUGGGAUAACUUCGGGAAACCGGAGCUAAUACCGGAUAAUAUAUUGAACCGCAUGGUUCAGUAGUGAAAGACGGUUUUGCUGUCACUUAUAGAUGGAUCCGCGCCGCAUUAGCUAGUUGGUAAGGUAACGGCUUACCAAGGCAACGAUGCGUAGCCGACCUGAGAGGGUGAUCGGCCACACUGGAACUGAGACACGGUCCAGACUCCUACGGGAGGCAGCAGUAGGGAAUCUUCCGCAAUGGGCGAAAGCUUGACGGAGCAACGCCGCGUGAGUGAUGAAGGUCUUCGGAUCGUAAAACUCUGUUAUUAGGGAAGAACAAAUGUGUAAGUAACUAUGCACGUCUUGACGGUACCUAAUCAGAAAGCCACGGCUAACUACGUG